rnacentral:rRNA from 1 species
UACGAAGGGGCUAGCGUUGCUCGGAAUGACUGGGCGUAAAGGGCGCGUAGGCGGAUGGCAUAGUCAGAUGUGAAAUUCCCGGGCUUAACCUGGGGGACUGCAUUUGAUACGUGUCGUCUUGAGUUCGGAAGAGGGGGUCGUGGAAUUCCCCCAGUGUAGAGGUGAAAAUUCGUUAGAUAUUGGGAAGAACACCGGUGGCGAAAAGGGCGGCGACCUGGGGUCCCGAUACUGACGCUGAGGCGCGAAAAGCCCAGGGAGCGAAACGGG